ACUUUCCCACGUCUGUCUAGUGUCCACGCUUCCCACUUCUCCAAAAAGAAAACAAACUAAUUUCUCAUUCCCAUCCUCUUCGGCUAUAAGUGAGAAAUUAGCAAGCUAAAUUUUCUCAGAAAUUAGAGUGAGUUGAGCGAUGGUUAGAGAAAAUCCAGCCAUGGUUGGAGAAAAUUAUGGUAGCACGCUUCUCUCUUAGUUCUGUUAGAGUAAAAUCAGCUAAGCUGAGAUACAUGCAAUUAGGUGCGUCUCUCCCAGAACAAUGAAAUCAACUUAUUCUUCUUACGACUUGUUGUGACUUUGCUUCAAUUGACAUUUUUCAGACGCUAUCUUGGUGUUUCCGUAUCUUCAAGUGGCACAUGUUAAAAGACGAAAUACAGCCUUUCCUCGUUACUACUCAACACUUACCGUUCAUCAAGCUUGCUCAUCUUUUGGUCUUGCUCUUGUCAACUGCUACUGAUAAACGUAUUCUUAGAGUGUUCUUCUCAUCAAGAUGAACCUAAUAAGAAGUGGAUGCAACUUGUUCAAGAUAGACUUGAUAAUGCUUACAUCAUUGGGGUAGAGAACUUUUUGGAUUAUACUUUUACAAGAUUGAGAGAAACACAAGAAAUACGUUGUCCAUGUGUCAAGUGUUGUAAUGCAUCUUCAAAAACUCAUGAGAUGGUUAGGUCACAUCUAUUAGUUUAUGGAAUAAUCCAAAGUUAUACUUUUUGGUAUCAUCAUGGGGAGAGGUUAGGUGAGCCAGAGUCAGAUUCUGAAUUUGUAGAGGACAAUGACAUUGAAAAGGAUGAUGAUGAGGAUGAAAUACGUGAGAUCUUAAGAGAUCUAAAUCCCACUUUUAAUGGAGACAAUAUGAACACUGGUGGUAAUGAUUUUGUUGAGGUGGAACCAAAUCCUGAAGCAAAACGAUUCUACAGCCUAUUAAAUGAUUAUGAACAACCAUUAUACGAAAGUUCAAAAGCAAGAAAUUUUUUUACUUUGGUUAAGUUGCUUCAUAUUAAAAGUAUUGACAAGUGGAGUAAUGCUUCAUUCACAAUGUUUUUGAAGAUGCUAAAGGAAGAUUUAUUGCCUGAUGGAUCAAACUUGCCAGUUUCAUAUUACGAGGCAAAGAAGAUAAUUCGAAACCUUGGGCUUUCUUACCAGAAGAUAGAUGCAUGUAAGAAUAAUUGCAUGUAAUAUUGGAAGGAUGAUAAGAUUCUCGAGUUUUUCAGUGUGUGUGGCACAUCUAAAUUGAAAGAGAAUAAAUGCAACGGGGAAACACAAACUAAACGUGGUAAAAAAGUACCAUGCAAGAUUUUAUGUUAUUUUCCUCUAAAGCCAAGAUUUCAGAGAUUGUUUAUGUCUUCAAAAACAUCUUCUUUGAUGAGAUGGUAUCAUGAUGAAAGAGUUGAUGAUGGAAUAAUGAGGCACCCUGUUGAUUCAGUAGCAUGGAAGACACUUGAUGAAAGGUGGGAACUCUUCAAAGGCUGCGUUGUUAGAUAAGUUGAAUGCACGUAAAAAAGAAAAUGAAUCACUAAAGAGACGCAUGGAUGAGUUAGACAAUAAAUGUGAAUGCAUGGAUGAGCUAGAGAGUAAAUAUGAACAUCUUGCAAGAGUAGUGCUUGGUCAACCUCCAACACCAACGUCUUCAAGUGAUCAAUAGAUGGUACCAUUUAACAGAAUCAUGCCUCCAUGAAAAGCUCCAUUGUGAACCAAUGUGGACCUUGAUGAGAAGCAUAAGAACCUUUGGAUUCAAUUAAUCUUUUGGCCGAGCAAAUUACUCAAGCUGAAUUUAGGGUCACUUUUCAAGUGCUUGCUCAAGCUAUGGUGUCACAAGCCAACCGAGAUAUGGUAGCUCCCAUGAACUCAAAUAUGGGUAUAAUAGUGACAAGAUUUCACGACUUCACAAGAAUAAAUCCACCAAAAUUUUAUGGUUCAAAGGUGGACGAAGAUCCACGAGAGUUUAUAGAGGGUAUCCCAAAAAUUAUUAGUAUCAUGGGUGUGACUCCAGUAGAGAAGGUGGAUUUGGAUGCUUAUCAAUUGAAGGUAAUGAAUCAAGUUUGAUUUAACCAAUGGAAGAAGGAGAGAGCUAUGUGAGGGUAUCUUGUAUUGGGGCAAGUUUAAGGAUGAUUUUCUAGACCACUUUUCUUCCCUAGAGUUGAGGGAGGCGAAAGUGCAAGAGUUGAUAAAUUUGAGACAAGACAACAUAAGUGUGAGGGAGUAUACUUUGAAGUUCACACAAUUGUUUCAGGUAUUUUGUACAUGAUUGUUAAUGAAUGUAAGACCGCAAUUUUGAUCAUAGAGAUGGAUAUAUUGAGUUUGAUGACUCAUGCCAAAAACAUCGAGAAGUAAAAGCUUAAGAAGAGGGCUUGAGAGUCCAAGAUGGCUCUGAUGGAUAGUGGUGACUUCUCUCAUUCGAUGUCCGAAAAUAGAGGUUGUUCACAAUUUUGACAAAAGUACUUCGGUCAAAACUUUUCUAGUUCUCUAAUUCAAAAGUCUAACAAAGAUAGGGUAUCUAACCCUAGGACUCAAAGUAAAGUUCCAAGUGGUCAGACUAUCCUCGCAUGCAUGAAGUUAAGGAGACAAUAUAGACGUGAUUGCUUAGCAGGUUCUGAUGCAUGUUUUGGCUGUGAUAAGAUAGGCACAAGGUGAGAUAUUGUCAUUCGAUUGCUCGCAAGGGUGGAGAUGGUAGACGUCAGACUCAGAGUAGUUCUUCUGGUCAUUCGGCUUGGCAAGGCAUUUCAUCUAGUUUUGGUGGUUAGUGUCAGAAUAGGUUUUAUGCUCUUUAGACUCGAUAGGAUUUGGAGGAUUCCCCUGAUGUGGUCACCGGUAUGUAUAAGUCCUUUAGUUUGAUGUUUAUGCUUUAGAUCCUAGAGAGAAUAUUUUUUUGUGACUCCCUACCUUACGAUGAAAUUUGAUGUAAAUACUGAAGUCUUACUAGAACCUUUCUUAGUCUAUACUCAUGUUGGUGAUUCAGUUUUAGCUAAAUGGGUUAAUAGAAAUCUUUUGAUCUCAAUUCUU